AGGUGAUAUACACGAUGACCUGGGCCAGAAGAAAGAAAUAACUAAGAGAAAAGACCCUGUGGAUUUCUCAGUCAAAUCUCAAGCAGAGAGAGCAGUUCAGUUCUUUGAUUACAUCUGAUGGAAUCCAUUAAGCUGGGUGAUCCAAAGUUCGUGAAUUUUUUAGGUUACUUGCUCUCUGCCACACUGUAAUGUCAGAGGAGAAUAGUGCGGAUUUUUGGGUUUCUGGCAUGCUUGGGAAUUAUUCUUGCAAUAGGAAAUUCAAUCUGGGAGAAUGAAGUUGGGGGCCAAUUCAGAGCUUUCCUCUUUUGGAAUGAAGAAAAGAAGAACUCUGUGUUCUCAGGAUUCUUAACAUUUUGGUCAUAUAUUAUUAUUCUCAAUACAGUUGUACCCAUUUCAUUAUAUGUGAGGUAAGAUGAGAGUUUUUACUUUAAUGAAGUAAUUUUGUCUAAAGCUUUUGUUUCACACAAUCACUUUAGUUUGUUCUCAAAUUACAACAGUGAGGUAGAUGUCUCCUCUAAGUCCUUAUAAUUUUUCACAUCUGUUACAAAUGAGGCAACUUAGCUGUUUAAUUCUGUUUAACUUUUACAUUUUCAAGUAUGCUACAUGCAUUCUAUUUUCUUCUUGAUUCCAUCGGGUUUCUUAGGACUGUUUUCCUUUGGAAUACGUGGACUACAAUAUAAUCCCAUGUAACCUGUUCAAUUAGAAUUGGGUUGAUUUGGGGUAAGAAAAGAAGAGCAUUAAUGGGUAUCUAUAAAGAUUGUGCCUCUCCAUCACCACUCUGGCUCCAGACACCUGGAUUUAGGUCCUUUUCCACUACUUACUAGCUCCAUAACAUUCGGCAAGUUACUUCACCAUCCAGUGUCUCAGUUUCCUUACUCCAAAAGUGGAGAGCAUAAUAGGUCUAGUUCAUAGGAUUGUACGAGGAGUGAAUAAAUGCCUGUAAAACUCUUAGAGGGAUAUCCAAUAUACUGUAAAAGCUUCAUGGAGAUUAGCUUCUUCUAUUAUUAUUGGUACUCAUAAAUGAGUGCACACAUAGUAGGUAGCAUUCUUAGAUAAGAAAUAUGGUUCAUAAUUCCCACUACAUCUUGAUCUAUCAUUUCUAGGUAUAGUUUGUGGAACUCAUCUCUCUCUAUACAUGUGCAUGUGCGUGCGUGCGUGUGUGUGUAUGUGUGUGUGUGUGUGUUUGAUAAGACUUAGAAUUUGGCCAUGGAGUCUGGAAUUGAGACAUUCUUGAUGCUAACCCUACCAUGAUUGAGCCAGACAGCCAGAGACACCACAGCCAAGAUGAGGCUUGGUUGUUUGACACUCCUCAUCGUCAGUACUUUAACAAUAUACAAAAUCACCAGUUCUGAAUCCCCACUAAUCUUUGCUAGCCUCUUUUUUUUCUGUCUUUCCAGAAACUUAGCUGUGAUGAAGCAAAGGAAGUUCCAUGCACAAAAUUUACCCUUGUUUUGGAUAGCGGUCAGGAAACUGAAAUGUCAAGUUGUGGGAAAUUGACUUGAAGUUGUGGCAUGUGGCCGGACCACCACAAAUUGCUUUGGGCUCUUUGGAGCUGCCGUCAGAGUGGGCUCUAUUUAAACCGUAUCCUCCUGGCUCAUCUUUGAUUCCGAGGACCUCUCAUGUUUGAAUCCAAUUAUUAAGUCUGUAGUAAAUCCUGCUCUUUGCCAGAAGAGCUAUGGUCAGCUUUUAUAGCUUUCCUUUUAUGUCCUAAACAAAUAAUAAAUGUGCAUAGUGGCUUACCAUCUGCACAUGUGCAGCUUCAUAUGUCUUAUGAAGAAAGUAUAUUCUGCAUACAUUCUUUCUUUGAAGUGCACUGGCAUUUUUUAUUUAAUGAUUUGAAAGAUUGUUUUUUUUUUCUUUUUCCUGAGAGAGCAAGGCUACAUUUUCAGGUUAACAUUUCUUUGUAUUUUUAAUGCGUAGUGGUUGACAGAAAACCUACUUGUAGUAGUCCAAACCCAAUUUCUGGUCUCGGCAUUACAAAUAGUAACUGUGUGAUCUUAGAGAAAGUACUUGGCUUCUUUGUGCCUUAGUAUGCUUGUUAAAUAUGCAGUACUUUAUAAAAGGAGGGGAUUAAAAUUGAUUUCUGGGUUCUUUUCUGCUACAAAUAAUACUACCUUGCCUUUAGAUAGCAUUCUAUAUGCAUAUAUGCUCAUAUAUAUCUAUAUCUAUAUCGAUAUCUA